rnacentral:rRNA from 1 species
UACGAAGGGGGGCUAGCGUUGCUCGGAAUCACUGGGCGUAAAGGGUGCGUAGGCGGGUCUUUAAGUCAGAGGUGAAAUCCCAAGGCUCAACCUUGGAACUGCCUUUGAUACUGGGGAUCUCGAGUCCGGGAGAGGUGAGUGGAACUGCGAGUGUAGAGGUGAAAUUCGUAGAUAUUCGCAAGAACACCAGUGGCGAAGGCGGCUCACUGGCCCGGUACUGACGCUGAGAAGCGAAAAGCAUGGGGAGCGAACAGG